AGGAAAAUAUAGAAGAAGAAGAGCUAGAGAUGUAUGAAGAAGAAACAAAAAUAGAAAAGGUUGUUGCUGCGGACAAGAUAGAGGAGAUAGAAACAGAAAACCUGAAUGAGAGUGAGAAGAAGGAUGAGAAAGGAAAAGCAGUGGUUGAAAGGAAAGAAUAAAAAAAAUUGUGAAAAUAAAGAAAGAAAAGAAAAAGAAAAAGAGAAGGUUAAGGAAGGAGAAAAUUAAGAAAAAGAGGAAGAGAGGAAAAAAAAAGGGUCAUGUAAGAAACCCCUUCCUCAUGAAAAGAAACAUCA
rnacentral:lncRNA from 1 species